AGCUUUGCGCAGUGGCAGUAUCGUAAACAAUGAGGUUUAUCCCAGGCGCAAUUAUUGCUAAUUGAAAACUUUUUUCAAUACCCUGCUGUGAUGACUUAAAAUAUAGUCGGCAUUGGCAAUUUUUGAACAGUCUCUAUGGAGA